UGAAUUUUUCAAUAACGCAAAAUUGCCUCAUCCUUUCCUCACACUUUCAGAACACGCCGCUCGUAUCAGCAUGCCUCUCGCACCCAAACCAGAAAACUUCAUUCCUGGCGAUCUCUCUUGUUCUCCCAGCGAUCUCUCUCGUUCUCCAGGUCACGUUCUCCGGCUCGGCGUCCUUCCUCUGGGCAUAUCAUGCAUUACUUACGAGAAAACAACACACGAUGCCCUGUUGCAGGUAUAUUUAUUUUUUGUUCCCCUACAUCAGUUGGACUUAUACUUUGAUGGUGACAUACUAGAAAAAUGUGGGGGUAUAUCUCAGCACAAGGGAUUGGAAAGUUAUAUUCUGGGUACAAAACACAUAAGAGGUAGUCUUGAUUAAUGACUGAUGUGUGACAUGCAGGUUGAAGAGUUUAGGCUAAUUAAGUGCCUAAACCUGUUUGAGUUUUUCAAUUAUUUAUGGGAAAGACCAUUGUAUAUCCCCCUUUACGGAAGAUGUCAAGUUUAUCUAAGUCUGUAUAGUGAUAGCCUAGGGAUAGCUUGAGCCAAAUAUGAAUUUAUUUAGGGAAACGCAUCCUCUCCGGAUCCCUUUUCACCUAGUCCGGGAUCCGGGCCGUUGAAAAUUUGAUCCAACGGUUACAAACAAGAGGCCCCUUUAAAAGUAAUAAUAAAUGUAGCCGUUGGAUCAUUCUAACGGUUCGAAUCCUGAACUAGGUGAAUUUGGUUUAAAGGAAUUCGAAGAAGAUCCCUUUCCUUUAUUUAGCAUAUGCAUAUGCACUUGUCAUAAUUAAUUUGAUUCUUCCCUCUUUCUUAUUUUCUACAAAUAGGGCUAAGAGAAUAAGACAGGUUACAUUUCAAAUUGACUAAUUCGCAUAUUUCCUCAUUGGUUUUUAUGGCUGCUAUAUUGUUUUCCACAAUGUCAAUACAAUUUAAUUAAGAAACAAUAUAGAUAUGUAAAUUUUAUAGCAUUUUAAAUUGUGGGGGGCUUUCCAUUUCAAUUUUGCUUGGAGGAAUUAAAUUAGAUGCUUUGUACGAUUAUUAGUAUUAUAAAUGAGCUUUACCAUACAUCUUUUAGAUGUAAUCACUAAUGAGUUUGUUCAAGUGAAAUUCAGGACAUCAAUGAAAAUUGUUGGGGUUGGAGGAGAGCCCGGUAUGCUGGAUAAACUUUGACGUACUUGAAAAUGUGGGAGUAUGCUAAGUUUUUUAUUUGGGCAGGUGUACCGAAAGUUCCAUUGACCAUUCCAAAGGCAUAUUCUGAAUGCUAAAUAAUUUGAGGUACUAUAUAGUUUAUAUUAAUUAGAAAUGAAUGGUAAUUUUUUUUUUUUUUUAAACAGCUUAUGGUAACGUUAUACGUGCAAAUGCCAUAUUAUGUUGAGAAGUCAUGCUUGGGAGAGACAGCUUAAAUAGAUAUGCAGGUGCACCUUGGAUUGGAACAUGAGUUGACACUCAUUUGGAAAAAGAUAUUUGGUGAGGCUUAACAACAUUUUUGUUAUAUCCCAAUUUAUAUGGACGUGACCCUGUAUUUGGUUGAGAGAUAUCCCACUAUUGUGGAAGACAACAAUGUGUUUGGUUUGAGGUAUCCCACUAAUUGUGGAAGAGACUAUAAAUUUAUCUGUGUCUGUGUGGCGAUAGCCUAGCUAUAAGAGCUUGAGUUAAAUAUAAAUUUAUUUUGCAUAUA